rnacentral:lncRNA from 1 species
GGUUGCAAAGCAGCAAGUCGAUCUCCAACUUGCUCCCACUAAUAGCUGGAAUACUACAGACAAAUUGUAAACACACUACUUUCACAGCAGGGGUGUGCUAUUGCUGCUUUUACUUGCCAUAGGAGUUGGCACAAGUCACACACACACACACAGACACACACACACACAUAUACACCCACGCACGCACGCACACCCACGCACGCACACACACAGACAAACAGUUUCUUCUGCAGGUUUGAACUGCGAUCAAGAUGGGCAAUGAGCAUUCCAAAAACAAGGCUGAGCAGGCUCCAGAAAAGCCCCUGCAUGGAGGUUUGAAUGGCCAUGCUGUAAGCAUCUCAUCCAAUGGCCUGGAGAAUGUUACCAGUGAAGCAGCUGUGGAGCAGAACAGUAUGCCUACCUCACUGCCUCCCUCUGAAGAGUCAGGUAUAGUGGAGGCAGAUGGCAGUGGUCUUGGGCCUGUGGUGGUGGAACAGAAGUCUGCCGUCAAGAAGGUUCCAGAAGUGGAACCAGAGACACAGAAUGCUAAGACUCAAAACACAGCGGAACCGGAACUGGAACCAGCCACCCAAGAGAAGGAGGAGCCCAAGAACAGUACACAAGAAAAAGUGAACAUCUUUGAAAAUCUGUUCAAGAAGAAAGCUAAGCCUCAACCCACCCCCAACCCGGAUCCAGCCCUGGAAAAGGAGGAGCCCAUAAGGGAGAAGAUUGUGGAGGAGAUUGAAAGUUCUGCGGAAGAUCAGAAAGUCCCUGUGGCUGUGACCGAUGGGAUCCAAGCUGAGCCACUUGCUGAGGUAAAGGAGGAUACAGAGACUUCAAAGGAGCGUCCCAACCCUAGUCCAGAGGCAGAGGAGGUCAAAAGCCCCAAAAUUGCAGAGGAAAGCAGUCACAUUCAGGAAAACCAAGAGGGAGAGAGUCAAACAGAAGAUAAUCCAGUUAUGAACUUCUUCAAAACACUAGUGACUCCCAUAAAAAAAAACAAGCAAGAAACAGCCACCCCUGAUGUUGCAAAAGACCAGAAAGAGGCCCAACCAACAACAACUACUGCUGCACAACUAGUGGAUGCAACAGCCAAAGGAGGAAUGUUAAUCCCACCAGCUGCAGCCCCAGCCCCAGCCCCGGCCCCAGCCCCGGCCGCAGCCCCGGCCGCAGCCCCUGCCCCACCCGCAGCCGCAGCCCCAGCCCCAGCCCCACCUAAGAUGGAGGUUAAAGCAGAACUAGCUGCCCAACCUGUGACCAACGCACCAAAAGAAGAACCAAAGGGUGCUGCCAAAGAAGCAGAGGCCGCCAAGCCGAAAUCUGACCGCCCGUUCAGCAGACUUUUCAGCAGAAAGGCACUGAUAGGCCUCAAGUCUAAAAUCAAGGUUAAGUCAACAAGUGGAGCCAGAGCCCCUGCCAAGCCUGCUGCAGCGACAGUGGAACCAGUGGAGCCACAGCCGGUUGUGGAAGUACAGAAUGUAGACUUCUCAAAGACGGCCACUCUGGAGGCCUCUGCCACUCUAGAACCACCACCACCUGCACCAGAGGACGAGAAGACACCUGCUGCCUCCAAAGCCUCUCCUUUCACUUCCUUUUCUCUUUUCAAGACCAUGGCAGCUGUGCCGAAAAAGGAAGUCCCUGCCCCAGCUGCAGAAGCGGUAGCUGGCCCAAGUGUAGCCAAGGAUGAACCAAAGGCCCCAGAGGACCCUGCUGUGGACAGCAAGCCCGUGUCAGGGCCCUCCGAGGUUAUGGAGAAUUCCCCCGUCCUCCCUAAGAGACUGGAGAAGAGGAACUCCAUCCACUUGUUCUUCAAAAACCUGGGCAAACGCCAGUCAGAUGCAGGAGUACAAACAGAACCAGAGAAGACCAAAUAAAACGGAAACACCCUUUCAAACUUCACAUGCCAUAUCUGGAAAUGAACUUUUCAUUUGUUAGAUACAUUAUGUUUCUGAUCACACUAUUGAAGGGAUGAUGGUAAGAGCAAGUGGUUUGAGGGAGAGGGGUGGACUGUGGACUGGUCUGUUCUAGUCUAAUCUAAUCUGUGUGGAUGAUUUCAGAGAAUUGUUCUUUGUGGAGGAGGUAAAAUAUAUUUUCUGGUUUAAAGGCUUGAUAGGUAGAGAAAAGUGGUUUUGUUACAUGUACUGAGAGCAAAAUCCAUUUCUAUACAGUAUUUACCCUUCUUUUAACAUGUCACUUAUUCCACGGAGGGCUGAGUGUCUGCGGGUUUUUGCUCCUCCCUUGAUUGAUUAAUUAAGGUCACUAAUUAGUAAAGAACUCCCCUCACCUGGUUGUCUAAGUCUAAAAACAAAACACCCACAGACACUAAGCCCUUCAUGGAAUGUGUUUGACACCACUGCUUUAACAUAUUAAUAUGUGUAAGGAUCUAAUGCAAAUAUUACGUUUAGCAUAUUUUUUUCCCCUCUUCAUAUACACAUUUUACUAGUCUGAAAAGAACUUGUGGAGUGCAUACAAUGGUUUCAGAUACGUUCAUAGGACGUCUUGGAGAAGAGAUGCAUAAAGCUUAGCUUGAGAUAGAAAUUGAAUAUACUCAAAAUUUAAUGGAGGAGUUGGCGAAAUGGUUGAUAUUCCUGCCAAGAUGUUUUUAUUUAGGCUAGACACAUGCAAUUUACAAUGUAAGCUUUAAACUUUGCAGGAACUGUACACGGAUGCAAAUAUAUGCCAAACACUAAAUUACAAUUUAUGAUUAUAAUCAUACACAGGGGGCGCUCCCAAUCAUUACUUUUUUGGGGAACUACACAGAUCUGGUUGUCUAUAUAGCUAACUGCACAGUCAUGCAUCAUAUUUGAUUAAUGUUUCACUGAAGUAUAAAGGUUUGUUCUAAUUUGGGUGCACUGCUUUACGUGUGUGCCUGUUUGAAUGCAGAUGUUAUAAUCUUGGGGAUCUUGUCUGUUAAUUUCUGCAUCUAUAAUUUGAUAAACUGCAUCUGGAAGUAGAAUGUUUAUUGUGACAGCAAAUUCCAAAUCAUGAAAACCUGC